rnacentral:rRNA from 1 species
AUACAGAGGUGGCAAGCGUUGCUCGGAAUUAUUGGGCAUAAAGGGCGUCUAGGCGGACGGGUCAGUCGGUUGUGAAAUCCCUCGGCUUAACCGAGGAACUGCAGCCGAUACUGCUCGUCUUGAGGAUGAGAGGGGAGAGUGGAACUCCUGGUGGAGCGGUGAAAUGCGUAGAUAUCAGGAGGAACGCCGGCGGCGAAAGCGACUCUCUGGCUCAUUCCUGACGCUGAAGCGCGAAAGCCAGGGGAGCGAACGGGAUUAGAAACCCGGGUAGUCC